rnacentral:rRNA from 1 species
CCUACGGGGGGCAGCAGUGGGGAAUAUUGCACAAUGGGGGAAACCCUGAUGCAGCGACGCCGCGUGAGUGAAGAAGUAUUUCGGUAUGUAAAGCUCUAUCAGCAGGGAAGAAAAUGACGGUACCUGAUUAAGAAGCCCCGGCUAACUACGUGCCAGCAGCCGCGGUAAUACGUAGGGGGCAAGCGUUAUCCGGAUUUACUGGGUGUAAAGGGGGCGUAUACGGCAGCACAAGUCUGGUGUGAAAUGCCGGGGCUUAACCCCGGAACUGCUUUGGAAACUGUGCAGCUAGAGUGCAGGAGAGGUAAGUGGAAGUCCUAGUGUAGCGGUGAAAUGCGUAGAUAUUAGGAGGAACACCAGUGGCGAAGGCGGCUUACUGGACUGUAACUGACGUUGAGGCUCGAAAGCGUGGGGAGCAAACAGGAUUGGAUACCCUUGUAGUC